UAUCUAUUAUGUUUCAUAAAGAAGUUCACCCGAAAUUAUGUCGACGAAUCUUACGAGACAAUGAUUUUCAUGGCAGAGUACCGCGAAAGAAGCCAUAUAUUAAUGCGGUAAAUCAUAAAAAAAGAUUGACUUUUGCAAAAACCUAUAUUAAUAAAGACGAUUCCUUUUGGAACAAAGUCAUCUUUUCGGACAAGUGAAAGUUUAACAUUUUUGGCUCUGAUUGUUAAAAUUAUAUGUGGAGAAACCCAAAUAUGAAAUUGGAAAUUCAACAUUUACAUCGAAGAGUGAAACACGAAGGUGGAUCAGUCAUGGUGUGGGGGUGCAUGGCUGCCAGUGACACUGGAAAUUUGAUAUUUAUUGAUGGAAUACUUGAUAAGUAUAAUCUGAGAGCAAGUAUUGAAAGAUACAAGUUAUAGAAAUAUGGAACUCCGUUGAGUGUAGUUUUACAAAAUCAUUGGUUUACAGUAUGGAGUGUCGAUUGAGACACACUAUUGCUCCUAAAGGUGGUCCAACAAAAUAUUAAUAUUAAAUGAUUUAAUAAUAUAUGUAGUGUCUAAAUGCUUUUGCUAGUCACUUGCAAUGUGUGUUUCUAAUAAAUGUAUAGCAACUCCCACCUA